UGCUCGUAGGGUUGCCAAAGAGUGUGUUUUGAACUGGCCAUACAGAAAGACUGCGAGUGUUCCCGUCAGGCGAUCUGGGACUCGUACGGUGAAGAAGAUGCAAGUAGUUCUAACCUACCGUGCGAAAAACGACACAUCAAGUGCAUAAAGGAGGUCAUCAAACAGAAACAAGAAGGAGACAUUUCUUGUGAUUGCAAACAUCCAUGCAGGAAACACACGUACGACAUGAAGACGUCGAUGACGCGGUACCCAUCCACCCACUACGACCCGGCUCUCAGAUACAUGCUUAGUCAGUGGAUCGACCAGGGACAAAUCUACUCGGUC